CCUACGGGCGGCAGCAGUGGGGAAUAUUGGACAAUGGGGGCAACCCUGAUCCAGCCAUGCCGCGUGUGUGAAGAAGGCCCUCGGGUUGUAAAGCACUUUCAGUGAGGAAGAACGCCUGGUGGUUAAUACCCAUCAGGAAAGACAUCACUCACAGAAGAAGCACCGGCUAACUCCGUGCCAGCAGCCGCGGUAAUACGGAGGGUGCGAGCGUUAAUCGGAAUUACUGGGCGUAAAGCGCGCGUAGGUGGCUUGAUAAGCCGGUUGUGAAAGCCCCGGGCUCAACCUGGGAACGGCAUCCGGAACUGUCAAGCUAGAGUGCAGGAGAGGAAGGUAGAAUUCCCGGUGUAGCGGUGAAAUGCGUAGAGAUCGGGAGGAAUACCAGUGGCGAAGGCGGCCUUCUGGACUGACACUGACACUGAGGUGCGAAAGCGUGGGUAGCAAACAGGAUUAGUACCCUAGUAGUC
rnacentral:rRNA from 1 species